rnacentral:rRNA from 1 species
UACGUAGGGCGCAAGCGUUAUCCGGAAUUAUUGGGCGUAAAGAGCUCGUAGGCGGUUUGUCGCGUCUGCCGUGAAAGUCCGGGGCUCAACUCCGGAUCUGCGGUGGGUACGGGCAGACUAGAGUGAUGUAGGGGAGACUGGAAUUCCUGGUGUAGCGGUGAAAUGCGCAGAUAUCAGGAGGAACACCGAUGGCGAAGGCAGGUCUCUGGACCAGUUCUGACACUGAUGAGCGAAAGCCAGGGGAGCAAACAGG